rnacentral:misc_RNA from 1 species
GAUGAAGAACGCAGCGAAAUGCGAUAAGUAAUGCGAAUUGCAGAAUUCCAGUGAGUCAUCGAAUCUUUGAACGCACAUUGCGCCCUUUGGUAUUCCGAAGGGCAUGCCUGUUCGAGCGUCAUUAUCACCCCUCAAGCCCUCGGCUUGGUGUUGGACGGUUUGGUGGAGGCCCCCUCGGGGGCUCCUGCCCCUCCCAAAGACAAUGACGGCGGCCUCGUUGGACCCCCGAUACACUGAGUUCUUCACGGGACACGUAUCGGACACAUGGGUUUACGGGACACGGUCUGCCUCCCCUCAGGGAGAAUCUUUCUAAGGUUGACCUCGGAUCAGGUAGGGAUACCCGCUGAACUUAAGCAUAUCAAUAAGCGGAGGA